AGCUAGCUGCUCACAGGACAGCUCUGAAUCUGAAUCUGACUAAGCUUAUUCCAUCAAACUUCACUCCAGAAUUUUCAAAUCACCGAACCCCAAAGUUAUGGGAAUUUGUUGCCAAGGGAGAAAGACAGUGGAAUUUCUGCUUUCCUGAUCUGCAGAAACUCUAAAACUGACCCAAUAGAUAUGGAUAUCGCCUCAUCAGCAAAGCAGCCACUCUCGCAUAUUCUUUCCUGAAGGUAUAAUCCAAGAUUAAAUUCAGGGCUUCAAGACGGCUGUCUAGAGGCAUCUAGUAUUCACCUCUCUACAAAGAAGAGUCAAAACAGUGAGUAGAUAAUCACACUUUGAAUAGAUCGCCUAGAGAGAAGAUAGGGAUUCAAGAGAGAAAUGACAGAAAACACCUAAGGCAAGGAAUGAGAGGUAAGUGAGGCAGCCUGCUCAGCCAAACUUUGUUGGGUGCCUAGAGAGCUUCCCAUUGCAGGAAAAGGGUAAAUGAAAGACCCAAGAAGUCCACAUUCCCACUGUGAACUCCUGCAAUCCUAGCCAUGGGAGACCCCCUGACCUUCAUGGACCCUGAUACUAACAUAAAGAUCUGCCUGGAGAUUGUGCACCAGCAUUGUUACAGAGAGAGCUCAUGCUGAGUCCCACAAAACUCUGAGUCCCAAGCACCUACAGCUACAGCAUAGCACCAGUUUGAGGCCUUAACCCUCAUCAGACUACUACAUACUGCCAGGAUCUCAAUAGCCCCUGCAUCUUUAUAUCUCUGAAGUCCUACUGAUAUUCCCUGCCAGCAGCCAGGCACCAUUUCUAGAUGCUGCUGCCAGGGCAACAACAUGAACCAUUGGCAGCAACCCCCACUAUCCCCAGAGAAUCUUAGCCUCUGUGCUUUUACAAGCGUACUAAGGAAAGGCUACCUGCUUGCAGCCACUAACUGGGGCCAAAGCAUAUGGUACCCAGCCACCUGCCUAAGGCUGCUCCCAGCGAAAGGAACCCCACUUUCCCCAGCAACUGCUGCUCCAACCUGAGCAUUCUGACAGGGACCUGAAGAUCACUCCACCCCUGUCUGCCACAGCCAGCACCUGCAUGCACCACUGGGAAGCCAGAGGACAGGCCCACCAAGCCCAGCUCCACAGGACCCAAGCAUGCUAUCUGGGAGCCUGGGAAUUACCUGGCACAACCCACCACCAGUGACACCUGAGCACUCCUCCUGGUGGCUUAACAGCAGGCCUACCUCACAUUCCACUACCACCAGAGCAGGCACCCACCUGCACACACCACCUGUGGGCCUGGAGACUGGCCUUGCUAGCCCAUUGCAGCCACCACUAACACUGGUGUAGACCACUUGGGAGAUAGGGUUGUUCUGCCACUGCACUGCCAUUGCCUGUACCAUGCCCAUGUCCCAGAAGCCCAAAAACCUGUCCACCUACCAGGCCCACUGCUGCUAUUCCUAGCAUUUGAGCAAGUUAUGUGGAGGCCCAAAUAUAAGCCUGUCUGGACUUUCCAACUUCAGUGCCAGCAUAUGCAUAUGCUUCCCUGGGGCAAAGAACAGGCACCACUUCCACCAUUAGGGUCCAAGGGUUGGCCUACUUGACAUCCCUGUCACCAGCAAAUUUUCACCACAGACUCCACUAACAACCAACAUAGGCCACUGAGCAAAUCACAGACACUACUGAUUCUGUUUACAGUGAAAUAAAUCAUAUGAAAACUAUACUAUGCACCCAGGAUCAAAGUCAAAGUGCCCAACACAAUUGACACCAUAGAUACAACUUUAGGAAAAUGUCCUCCCCUAUUAAAGAGAAUUCAAAAAAUUAGAAGAAGUGACUGUUACACUACAGGCACAGAUAUCAAUGUAAGGACACAAGAAACAUGAAAAAGCAAGAGAACAUGACACCUCCAAGAAAUGCAAUAAUUCUUCCAC